AAUGGGGAAACCCAGUGUGACUCGUCACACUAUCAUUAACUGAAUCCAUAGGUUAAUGAGGCGAACCGGGGGAACUGAAACAUCUAAGUACCCCGAGGAAAAGAAAUCAACCGAGAUUCCCCCAGUAGCGGCGAGCGAACGGGGAGGAGCCCAGAGCCUGAAUCAGCAUGUGUGUUAGUGGAAGCGUCUGGAAAGGCGCGCGAUACAGGGUGACAGCCCCGUACACAAAAGCGCAUGUGCUGUGAGCUCGAUGAGUAGGGCGGGACACGUGGUAUCCUGUCUGAAUAUGGGGGGACCAUCCUCCAAGGCUAAAUACUCCUGACUGACCGAUAGUGAACCAGUACCGUGAGGGAAAGGCGAAAAGAACCCCGGCGAGGGGAGUGAAAAAGAACCUGAAACCGUGUACGUACAAGCAGUGGGAG
rnacentral:rRNA from 1 species